CUGAGGAAUAAGCAUCGGCUAACUCCGUGCCAGCAGCCGCGGUAAUACGGAGGAUGCAAGCGUUAUCCGGAAUGAUUGGGCGUAAAGAGUCCGUAGGUGGCAUUGAAAGUCUGCUGUUAAAGAGUCUAGCUCAACUAGAUAAGAGCAGUGGAAACUACAAAGCUAGAGUUUGGUCGGGGCAGAAGGAAUUCCUGGUGUAGCGGUGAAAUGCGUAGAUAUCAGGAAGAACACCGGUGGCGAAGGCGUUCUGCUAGGCCGAGACUGACACUGAGGGACGAAAGCUAGGGGAGCGAAUGGGAUUAGAUACCCCAGUAGUCCUAG
rnacentral:rRNA from 1 species